AAAGUGGCGAACGGCUGAGUAACACGUGGGCAACCUGCCCUUUGCACUGGGAUAGCCUCGGGAAACCGAGGUUAAUACCGGAUACUCCAUAUUUGCCGCAUGGCGAAUAUGGGAAAGCUCCGGCGGCAAAGGAUGGGCCCGCGGCCUGUUAGCUAGUUGGUGGGGUAGUGGCCUACCAAGGCAAUGAUGGGUAGCCGGGUUGAGAGACCGACCGGCCAGAUUGGGACUGAGACACGGCCCAGACUCCUACGGGAGGCAGCAGAG
rnacentral:rRNA from 1 species